AUUGAACGCUGGCGGAAUGCUUUACACAUGCAAGUCGAACGGCAGCACGGACUUCGGUCUGGUGGCGAGUGGCGAACGGGUGAGUAAUACAUCGGAACGUGCCCAGUCGUGGGGGAUAACGUAGCGAAAGCUACGCUAAUACCGCACACGAUCUAAGGAUGAAAGCGGGGGAUCGCAAGACCUCGCGCGAUUGGAGCGGCCGAUGGCAGAUUAGGUAGGUGGUAGGGUAAAGGCCUACCAAGCCGACGAUCUGUAGCUGGUCUGAGAGGAUGAUCAGCCACACUGGGACUGAGACACGGCCCAGACUCCUACGGGAGGCAGCAGUGGGGAAUUUUGGACAAUGGGCGCAAGCCUGAUCCAGCCAUUCCGCGUGCAGGAUGAAGGCCUUCGGGUUGUAAACUGCUUUUGUACAGAACGAAAAGGCUCUGGUUAAUACCCGGGGCUCAUGACGGUACUGUAAGAAUAAGCACCGGCUAACUACGUGCCAGCAGCCGCCGUAA
rnacentral:rRNA from 1 species